rnacentral:rRNA from 1 species
UACGAAGGGGGCUAGCGUUGUUCGGAUUUACUGGGCGUAAAGCGCACGUAGGCGGAUCGUUAAGUCGGGGGUGAAAUCCUGGAGCUCAACUCCAGAACUGCCUUCGAUACUGGCGAUCUUGAGUCCGGAAGAGGUGAGUGGAACUCCUAGUGUAGAGGUGGAAUUCGUAGAUAUUAGGAAGAACACCAGUGGCGAAGGCGGCUCACUGGUCCGGUACUGACGCUGAGGUGCGAAAGCGUGGGGAGCAAACAGGGAUUAAGAAACCCC